UAGUGUUGAAUGUGACCGACACUCAUACACCAGAGAAUGGUAGCAGCAGUAAUAGGACAUGGGGGGUUCCGGCGCUUUGCUGGUCUUAACAACUAGCAGCAGCAGUGCUACAACAUCCCCCACCGGCCGGCCCAACACUAUUGCUCCAACAAGCCCACGCCACUUCAUUAUAACCUCACCAGUCAAUAGUACAGCCGUUAAUGAGACCGGGGAACUGCUGUGCGCGGCGCGCAAACUUGGCUCCCACAGGCGAGAAGCACAGCACGACGUGCAGGUUGUCGCGCACGCGGUUGAGGAAGAAGUUGUACAGGUUGUCGUACGUGUCUGGCACGCCAGGCGCCUGGUGUUUCAUGAUAGGCCGGAUGUCGUUGACAAUCAUGUCCUGGUCCUCCUUGGUCAGCAGACCCGC
rnacentral:lncRNA from 1 species